rnacentral:rRNA from 1 species
GAUGAACGCUGGCGGCAUGCCUAAUACAUGCAAGUCGAGCGAACAGACGAGGAACUUUCCUCUCUGACGUUAGCGGCGGACGGGUGAGUAACACGUGGAUAAACUAUCUAUAAGACUGGGAUAACUUCGCGAGACCGGAGCUAAUACAGGACAUUAUAUCGAACGUUAUGGUUCUCUAGUGAUAGACGGUUUUGAUGUUACUUAUAGAUUGAUGCGCGACGCAUUAGCUAGUUGGUAAGGUAACGGCUAACCAAGGCAACGAUGCGUAGCCGACCUGAGAGGAUGAUCGGCCACACUGGAACUGAGACACGGUCCAGACUCCUACGGGAGGCAGCAGUAGAGAAUCUUCCACAAUGGGCGAAAGCCUGACGGAGCAACGCCGCGUGAGUGAUGAAGUGCUUCGGAUCGUAAAACUCUGUUAUUUGGGAAGAAGAAAAGUGUAAGAAACUAUGCUCGACUUGACGGUACCUAAAGAGUAAGCCACGGCUAACUACGUG